GGGUAAUAUGGCACCUUGGACACAACAAACAACAAUAACCAUGUACAAUACAAAACCAUUACAAUUACAACCAAUUACAAUACAUUAUUUUUGGAGCAGUAUUCACUGAGAAAUUACAACUAAACAAAUUAGAUACCAUGCUGAUCAUGUUAUAUACACAGUGAGGCGCAAGUGUUAUUAAUGACGGCAACCGUUUUUACUCCCCCAAUCAUUUAUCCCCACCCCAGGUGGCUGGUAGCACCUUAAUUAGGGAGGACUGGCACAUAGUAAUGGCUGGAACGGAAUAAAUGGAAUGGUAUCAAACACUCCAUUCAAGCCAUUAUUAUGAGCUGUCCUCCCCUCAACACCCUCCUGUGAAUACCCACUCCCUCGAAUUUAUCAAGUGACAGUGGAGUUGAAUGAAUACUUAUGUGGGAGAAAAAGAGCUUCAACGCAGAUUUACUUAAAGUGUAGUCAACUUUGUUCUAAGGGCAGAAAGAAUCUGAUUGGUUUAGGGCAGAACCAAUCCGAUUGGUUUCUAACUCUAAAUCUUGUAAAUAACUUUGAGUUACAAGUUGUAAUGUUUUAAAAUCCUUUUUGUGCUACAGUAGUCAAACAAAUGUGACAGUAUCUCUAAGAUACAACUUGUCUCCUGACUUGAAGCGAAGAGUAAAAUGUAGCAAACUAGCAGCCUUAUGCUAAGCUAAUCAGAGCAAGAAAGCUAAGCUAAGCAUUUAGUAACCUCUUAGCUACUCAUGUUGAAUUAAUAAAUAGUAUAUUGAGUCAUAGAAUAGAACUAGCUGGGUCUCUAAUAUACCUGUAAAUCGGCUCCCAUUUACUUUAUCAAUAAUAUUUAGUUAAAUAAGCUAUAUAAACUUCUGGGGGAAGAAAAGUAAAAUGGUCAUUUCCAUGUAAAAGGACCCAUGAGCACCAACACGUGAAGUUCAUAGGAGAAAUUAAGGCAAAUAUACAUUUUUCAACCAUUUGCCAUCCUAAAAAUGACUAUAAUGUUAAGAAAAGACCCCUGCCAACUAAUAUCAACACGUUCAUAUUUACUUUUGGGUACAUGUUUCUGCCUUCUGUAAGUUUAAGAAACAUUGCCAUGUGCUUUGAAAUUCCGUUACCAAAACCCCACAUAUCUUUAAGAUAUUUUCUCAUUUCUCUCCCUCAUGAUGGAGGAUAAAGAAAGGUCACAGAUGUAACAAGUACACCUAUCAAUUAUUAUAGUAUUUUACUGAUAUCAAUUUUGUUAAUAAAUUAUUAAAAAUGCUUAAAAACCAAAUUGGUUACGGAAUUUCCCAAAAAUCGGUAAAGGAAUUUCUGCUAUUUAAUUGGCUACAACGGGAAAUCAUAGUAGUCACAAACCACAGUUGGGUUCACAAGUUUGGACAGCACAGUACUAUACAGUACAGUAAAUAAAAGUUGAGUAGAGUUCAGCACAGUACAGUAAAGAAAAGUACAGUACAGUCCUGUAUUGUAAAGUACUGAACUAAGCUCUACUUUACUGUACUCGAUUGUACUCUACUGUUCUGUGCUCUGCUGUACUGUACUCUACUGAACUCUACUGUUCUGUACUUUGAUGUCCAAACUUCUGAAACAUAGACGUACAUCUAUGACUGGUUCAGAUUUGGUUAGUUUCGGACCAAGCAAAUGUGGUCUUGUUUGGGGGCAGAGCUCAUUAAAGUAAUAGCCGUGUAGAAUAAUCCCCAAAAUAUGCAAAGGAGGAUAUUGCAUUUGUAUACCUUUGUGUACCUAUUUAGGAUAGAUCCCCAUGAAGAGAAUGACAUUCAUAUCCAUAAUUAUCCAUCUGUGUAGUACAGGACUUAGAUCAGGGACCCAUGAUGAAAUUCUGUUACAUUUUAUUUUUUACUAGUCAAGUCAGUUAAGAACAAAUUCUUACUUUCAAUGAUGGCCUAGGAACAGUGGGUUAACUGCCUUGCUCAGGGGCAGAAUGACAGAUUUGUACCUUGUCAGCUUGGGGAUUCGAACUUGCAACCUUUCGGUUACUAGUCCAAUGCUCUAACCACUUAUAAAUCCACUUCACCUAUUGUAGUUCCAUAACAAAAAAAUAUUUUUUUCAAAGUCAAGGUGUCAUGUCAUAGCUGACACCCCCUUCUUUCUGUAGACAUUGUUGAGUCCUAAUUCUGAAAUUUUACAGAAAUUCUGUUACCAAACUUUGAAUCUGCACAGGUCUUCUAGUAAAUGUGUUUUUGUUAAAUUUUCUGUGUAAAUUGUUAAACUUAGCCCUUGUGCACUGUAUGGUUUGUUAAACUUCAAAAUAUUUUUUUGUUUGUUUGAUAUACAUUUUAAGCUAAAAAUCUGAGUCGUGGAAUUGCCCUUUUCUAAAUUCUAUUGUUAUCGUCACCCAAACUAACAUUUACUGGCAUAUUUGAGACCUAGCUAGCUAGCUCUGUUCUUUGACUCAACAUUAGUAAAAUAUAGCUAUCUGCUAGCCAACUCGUUCUGUUUAGCUUAGCAUUUUAUAUUGAUGCCCCUGGAGCAGCAUAACUAUCCAUCCCUGUUGUUUUUGUCAUAAAGCUUAUUCAACUUAACAUUUCAAUAAAGCAUAUGUUACCUGACUUACUUGUAUAUUUGACACCUAAUUAGCUAUAGUAGUUAUAUUUAUUAAUUCAACAUGAGUAGCUAAGAGGUUACUAAAUGCUUAGCUAGCUUUCUUGCUCUGAUUAGAUUAGCAUAUCGCUGCUAGCUUGCUACAUUUGACUCUUUGCUUCAAGUCAGGAGACCAGUUGUAUUUUAGAGGUAUUGUCACGUUUGUUUUCGUACUCAUAAUAACAACAUGUAACUCAAAGUUGUAUUUACAUGAUUCUCAGUUCAAACCUUCGCCAUGUUCUUAAGAGUAGUAUAUCUGUUAAACUCUGCCCACUGACCUGUUCUUGACAAUACAAUCAUCUCAAGUUAGCCCAGCGGUCGCAAAGAUUUUAGGACACCGCCCCGCUGCAUGAGGUGUGAUGUGUGGUUGCUGUUAUUGCAGUUUGACUGUUUGGCUGUGCAAAAUCCUGGCAAAACAUUCAGCACACAGUUCUAAAAACCCACUGUUUCUGCUCUGAGGCAGUAUGUCAGUUCCAUUUAAAAAUAGAAAAGGCAUCUUUAAGGAUAUUCUCAUCCACGCUCAUUAAUUAAUGCUCUCUGUUUAAAGUGUAAUAUUACACUAAGAAGACAGACAAUGUUCUCUGUGUGUGUGUGUGUGUGUGUGUGUGUGUGUGUGUGUGUGUGUGUGUGUGUGUGUGUGUGUGUGUGUGACAUAAUGUUGAGGAGGUCACUUCUGGUUAAAAAAAGAAUUAUUUGUUCAUCAGCCGUUAGUGAGUUGGCAGAUUAUAGUUCUGUAGCAACACCAGCAGGCCCCAGUUAGGAAAAGGCCACAAUGUCAAACCAUCUGUGUGUAGGCGCACCCUACAUCCUCCACGCAACAUAGCUCACCAGUAACAAACAGUAGCCCAGAUAUGCUUUCAUACUAAUUUCUUUAUCUGAAGCCAGAUGGUUGAUUUGAUGUUUAUCUGUUAUUAAGCAUUUCUGAAGCAUUGCUAUUGCCACUAGAGGGGACAGGUAAAUGAAUUCUGCUACUUGCUUUAGUCCUGAACAUUCAGAACAUUCUCUAUUAGUCAUGUACACUACAUCUGCUUGAAAAGAAUGACCAACUCAAACACUUUGUCUGUGUUAGAGGAAAAGAGAGGUCAGGGGUCAUGGGGUGGGCUCACCGGUGGGGAUAGCACAUGGUUGUGUCCCCCAAGGCCAGGGUCCAGAGAGAGAGUGUCAACAUCGCUGUAACGAGCCAUACUGGAUAGAUGUAGUUGCUGGACACUCUGGAGCUCAGUGAAGUGGCCCUCUUGGAGGUUGUCAAAGUCCAGAGGAUGAACAUGAUGAGUGGCGUGAUAGUCCCAGUGUUCUGAACAGAGAGACACAUUUUAAUUGUUCAUUGAGUAAGAGGUAGGUCUGAAGGAAGUGUACACUAAAUGGCAAUGUUCAGAUGGCAUAGAAUAGAGAAAACCUAUUUGACUACAGAUUCCAAAUACACAAUGUCUGCUAUUCAUUUAAAGUGUUCAGCAAAAUGUUUUAGGCAAUUUCCUGUUCACACAUCUUUGCUUUGGCAGUUGUCUUUUUCUUUCUUUUUUAGCCUGAAUGUCACAAAUGUGUUAAAACGUGUAGAAACCCAAAAACUUUCUGCAUGUAAACAUGUUUUAGUGAUCUGUUGUGUUCUGUCCUGAGACUGCACCAGAGAGUUGCCAUUCUUAGGAUUUUAUAUUUAUCAAGCAUAUUGUAAUAAUUUAGUUUGUUAAAUGGAGCAGAGCCUAUAUAAUUCUACAGCUCCUACUAGUAAUUACCAGUUUAUUCUUGCAGUAGGAUCAGUUGAUUACAGGAGAAAAUACAACCGAACCUCUCCAUUUCAAUAAACCCCAGGGGGGAAAGUUGUGCCUGACCGAAAUGGCAUCUGUUUCCUGUACUCCAUGGGGGCAACAUGCUUGGCUCCAGCUGCAGUGUCUUUAGACUUUUUAUGUAGAGUAUUGUCUUUAAUAUAGCUACUGUGUGUGAUUUCCUCAGGCCUGGUCAAACACAUAUCUAGUUGGGCCGGCACUAUUCACUUCCGUAUAAGUGAUUUUCAAAUUGUUUAUUUCGUCUACAAUUAUGUGAUGGACCAGGUGAGAUGAGGUACCCCUCCAUUCUGUACGGAUGCAACAUGAAGGCUUCUUCUUGAACCGACCUACUUCAGGCACUUAGCUUCAAUUGUUUCUCACACUCUUUCAAAACUUUUCCCGCACCAUUGCACAACGUUUACCAAAUUUCCUCUCACCAAACGAAACCCAAAAUGUCUCCCUCUGCCUACACAACUUUAUCCACUUGUAAGCCAAGCUAUUCUCUCAAAUUUUGUCUAUGAAAAUAAAAUAAAUUAGCCCUACUCAGUGACUGAAAAUUAAAAGGGAACCUGAUAUUUUGACUUCUGUAUAUCUUUGUGGGUGUACACAUCUCAGUGUGUCUGGUGGCGGUUCCUGGUCAUUGGUGAUUUGUCAGGGGGAGAUUCUAACAUCUCACAUUUAUUAAGGCUCAAUUGCAUCGCCUCCCAAACCAGCCAAUCAUUUCAAGGCCUGUCUUAACUGUCAGUCUUCUAGCAUAGCAUCAUCUGUCAGUGGAUAGUAUCUUUCCAUCUCAUUGUGACCCUUUUUCCAACCAAAUUAAAUGUUUUUUUUUGUGUGGCUAAAGUGCAGGUAUCCAUAUGCAUAUACCUUGCAUACACUAUACAAAUCUAUAUGAAUAUUACAAAUCUAAUAUUAAACAUUUUUAGCAUGUUUCAUUGCCAGAUUGAUAGUCGCCCGGUCCACGUUAUAACAAUUGUAUUUUGCAUUUAACAUUGUCAUCUCGCAGACCAGUAUCAGUGUGUACAUUGGAUUUGGUGUUCAGCAAGGUUCGGCACUUGGACCCCUGUUAUUCCCUAUACUAUGCUAUCCCUUCAAAUAAACUGGUGUAAAUAUGUCAAUUAAAAAACAAACCAGUAGCUUGAGUUCUAGCCGUAUCAAUUAAAUAACUCACAUACAUCGAUGAAUUCUGCUAUAUUUCUAUCCAAACAAUUGUUUCAUCUGUGUGUAGAUUAGCUGGACAGAUAAAAUCAUGACACUGCCUUUUUGCAAUCCUGCAACGGCUGUGGAGAUUAAGGGAGAGGAGAUAAAAUACCUCCUAAGACAAUAGUAGUGUCGGUGGGGGGAUUCUUGAGAAAUCGCAAAUGUUUUAAUCUAUUUUCUGACCAAAUGUGUUUUUCUCACCAUUCACCAUUCUUCCUCACAAUGGGUACAGGGUACAGUAGCUCUGCUACUAGACUCUUCCGACCCUCUCUUCUGACCCUAUGGGCUGGUUUACAGGACACAGUAUGAGUAUGCUUUUUUAUCCAGGACUAGGCCAUGUCUGGGAAACCAGCCCUAUCUGUCUCAGGUAUCUCUCCCUGACACAACAUCUCUGUUUUAACUUGAAGAGAAGUGAGGUCACAAGCCUAGCCUCCAACUGACAGUAUAGAUUUGGACAGAGGAAGAGUGCAUCAGUCUGAUAAUGACCAGAUACUUGAAAUACUGUAGACAGUAAGAUCCAAAUCGCACUGAAGAUAAUUUCGGAAUGAUUAUUAUAUUCCCUUGGUUGUUCAAAGCUUAAUAUAACACACAACCAAAAACCAUGUAGUCAAAUUUGCUCUAUUAUGGCUGUCCAUCAAUUCUAUUGUUUUUUCUCUCCUUCAUCUCUAUCAAAGACUAUGUUGACUAUAUUUUCUGUGAAUUGUCAUAACCUUACCUGAUAAUAUUUUAUGUGCUAAGGAGCACCAAAUACAGUGUAUUCUUUGUUUAAUAAUCAACAUUAACAAAGGCAAACAAUCAGUUUGACUUACUGGUUGCAGUAUAACAAUCUUAAUUUGGUAGACCUGUGCAUUUGAUGUUGGUGUACUUUGUUGGAUUUUAGUUUACGUGGCUUUUCAGUUUGCCUUGCUUGCAUGGUCUGGGGUUAUAAUUUGAGUCCCUUGCAUCCUUCUACCACUUGUAGGUCUGCUAAAACCACACAGCCUGUCCAUGGCCCCCAUGUUAAUCACAGCUGUCUGAGCAAAACUGAUGACAUUUCGUAUUAAUACACUAUGUGCGUUACAGCAAGCCCAGCACGCUAUUUUCACCACGGCUAUUUUCAGAGCACACAAACGACUCUCUUUUAGAAUAUAUAGUUUUUUCUCAAACACAAAAAUAUGCUGUUUUGUCAUAAAUCAUUCAGGUUUCCCAGAUCUGUUUAAAAUGAACUAUUAGGUGGAGAUUGGUGGACAUCUCAGUAAGAGGUCAGUCUCUCAGCCUCAUGGACAGCACUAUAGUUCGUUUGAUGAGUAUGAUAUAGUGUCAUUUCUGUUCCCCUGUACUUUGCUUUACAGAGUACAUCCACAUACAGGUCUACUACAUACUACAUAAGGCUUCAGAUUACUAGGCCUUCGACAGCUAAAAACAAGAUGAAAGUUAAACAGGCGUCAUUGUGCUCAUCCCUUUUUGGGAAAGACAAGAACACACUUUCAGUUCUGUGUUUGAAUGAAUGGCUCAAUACAUUAAAUGUGUGUUUCUUACAAUGUAAAAAACUACAGGAAAUAGGCAGAUAACAUUCCAACAGAAUCAGGCCUAUAAUUUGGUUUUACAUUUCUACUGUUAGUCAACAAGGCGGUGUCAGAGGAAGGCCCUAAAAAUGGUCAAAGACCCCAGCCACCCCAGUCAUAGACUGUUCUCUCUACUACCGCAUGGCAAGCGGUACUGGAGUGCCAAGUCUAGGACAAAAAGGCUUCUCAACCGUUUUUACCGCCAAGCCAUAAGACUCCUGAACAGGUAACCAAAUGGUUACCCGGACUAUUUACAUUGUGUGCCUCCUCCCAACCCCUCUUUUACACUGCUGCUACCCUCUGUUUAUCUAAAAUGUAUAGUCACUUUAACUAUACAUUCAUGUACAUACUACCUAAAUUGGCCCGAACAACUAGUGCUCCUGCACAUUGGCUAAACGCAUUGUGUUCCCCCCCCAACCCCUCUUGCACCCUUCUGCUACUCUCUGUUCAUCAUAUAUGCAUAGUCACUUUAACGAUACCUACAUGUACAUACUACCUCAAUAAGCCUGACUAACAGGUGUCUGUAUAUAGCCUUGCUACUCCUAUUUUCAAAUGUCUUUUUACUGUUGUUUUAUUUCUUUACUUACCUACACACACACACACACACACACACACACACACACACACACACACACACACACACACACACACACACACACACACACACACACACACACACACACACACACACGCACCAUUGGUUAGAGCCUGUAAGUAAGCAUUUCACUGUAAGGUCUACUACACCUGUUGUAUUCAGCGCAAGUGACAAAUAAACUUUGAUUUGAUUUGA